rnacentral:rRNA from 1 species
GGGUGAAAGGCCAAUCAAACUCGGAGAUAGCUGGUUCUCCCCGAAAGCUAUUUAGGUAGCGCCUCGGACGAAUACUACUGGGGGUAGAGCACUGUUAAGGCUAGGGGGUCAUCCCGACUUACCAACCCUUUGCAAACUCCGAAUACCAGUAAGUAAUAUCCGGGAGACACACGGCGGGUGCUAACGUCCGUCGUGAAGAGGGAAACAACCCAGACCGCCAGCUAAGGUCCCAAAGUUAUAGCUAAGUGGGAAACGAUGUGGGAAGGCUCAGACAGCAGGAUGUUGGCUUAGAAGCAGCCAUCAUUUAAAGAAAGCGUAAUAGCUCACUGGUCGAGUCGGCCUGCGCGGAAGAUUUAACGGGGCUAAGCUAUACACCGAAGCUGCGGCAAUGUGAAUUUAUUCACAUUGGGUAGGGGAGCGUUCUGUAAGCCGUUGAAGGUGCAUUGUAAAGUGUGCUGGAGGUAUCAGAAGUGCGAAUGCUGACAUGAGUAACGAUAAAGGGAGUGAAAAACUCCCUCGCCGGAAG